GUAAUGUAACUGUUGAUGGGACUGUGAUGCAAACGCAAUCUAAUACGAGCGCAUAAGUUACUGUCUUUCCAAAGUUUAAGGUUAUUGAUGUAUCAGCUAUGAGAGUAUGUGUGUGAUUAUACAUGCGAUUAAUAACCCGAUUAUUUUGGAAAAACAAGAAGGACACGCGACAAAAGAGGGACAACUUAUGUUUAUUGACGAGUCGAUCGUGUCGUUGUGCCUAAUAAAUUUUCACGCUCGGUCUCCUCUCAAGGAUUUCGGAAAAAAUUAAGCGUUAACGAUCUCUUUCCUCUCGAUUGAAUGCGAUGGUCACUACGACAUCAUGCGUGUAUUCGCAUAAUGACGCCUUAUUCAUUGGGCAAUCAGCGCGCGAGGGAGGCGACAGGUGCGCACAAAGUGUUCGAUCGGCCGUUCAUAAUUCGCUGUGAAAUUUCAGAGAUCAUUUCGCGUCCUAUGCGCGCAUCAAUUGGAAUUUUUAUCCCGUUUUACACGGGGAUCGUAUAGUUCCAUUCGUCUGUUGACGUUUAAAGGUCAAAGUAUGCCUCGAUCAAAGUUGUUUUGUGUAUUUGUCGUGGGAAAUCUUAUCUGCUGAAAACUGAUAAUCACUAGGAAGUGAUACCGCCACCUUGUGCAUUGCACGAACCAUAAAAAUAUUGCAUUUUUACUGUUUUUAUCAAUUGUAUCAGAAAUUUGCCCAUGGCGUGUUGGUUAGACAUCGGAAUAAUGUUUAAUCCGUUAUUAGAAUUCAUUGAAGUCUAGCGUGUAUAGGAGAGCCACUUAACUAAUAUUCUCUCAAACAUUUUUCCCCUUUGAUUUUGCUGUCAUGGUUUUAACAGAAGAUGAGUACCGAGAAGCAAAAUCUAAUUCCAGACUCUCUAAUUUGUUCAAGUUACGUAAUGUUACAAAGAGCUACAUUAUUCAGUGCCUGGCAGACAGAGAAAUUCAACGUUCUAUCAACAACCUAGGGCAGCAAUCCAAAGCGUAUGGAUACAAUUGCAAGGUGAUCCACUCUCCUGAGAUGUACGCUGACGUUGAAGCCGUGCUGUGUGAGGGUUGGGAUUCAAUUAAUAACAAACCAUGCUGUAAACCACGGAUAUUAUCUCAUUUGAGUGCUGGAACUCAAGAUGGACAGCAAUUAAAUAAAAUCAUAGAAUUGAAAUCGCAAAUCACAAAUUUAGAGAAGACCAUUAUCGACUUGAAAAGAGAAAAUUUUCGCCAAUGUCAAAAGAAUCAGCAAGUGAAAGCCCCUGCAAGCGAAAAGAAAAACUCAUUCACAGUUUCAAAAGUACAAUCUGCUAGAAUUCAGCAACUGGAAGCUCUUGUCGCUUCUAGAGAAAGAGCGAUUCUUGCUUUUGAGGCAUCAAACAAACGUUUGGAACGUGCACUAAUAAACACCCUUAAUGGUUCGAAUGCCUACAAGGGUGUAUCUAAUGGAUCCAACGAAGGAAAUAAGACUCCAAGCGACGCAUCCUCUUUGAUGAAUUUGCAGAAUUUAUUGAUUUCCACCGGAAUUUGCUUAAUCGUCUAUAAAAAACCCGAAUUAGUCCAUUGGGUCUCAAAGAAAUUUGUUGAAUUAUCAAGAAUCAUCUCCGUUUAUUUUCUUUACAGCUUUAUUUGAAAAAUGCUUUAUUGAUCCAUUUUUCUGAUAGCCAUCCCUCUGAAUGUAGUUGCAACAAAAUAGUUGUACAGUAUGUGUAACCCAUUGUGCCCCAUUCCGCUUUAUCUCAGUCCUUUUCGUGUCAGUCCUUUUCUCCGAAAAAAUUUAAUCAUAUGCGUUGAGAUAUGCUUGCUGGAUGGAUAAAUGCCGUCUGCGGCUUCCAUUUGAGUGUUAGUAAAAUCAUACAUUUUAGCUGCUGAUAGUUUUGAUGAUUUUCUUUCGCUAUUGUCAUAUUUUACUGACAGCGCACAACACUGUGACAUGUGGAACAACAAAUACAUUUUCAACUGCUUUAUUUGAAAUGAAAAGAGCGAAAGGAGGCAGUAAGCAAAGCAAGAAAAUUACAUUUAAAUUUUACUCAAGGUUGAUCGCCUUUUGCGCGGAACAUACCAUUCCGUGUGCAACAUCGAGAAAACCAAACCCCUUAGGAUGCACGCCGUAGACAAAUAGAAGCUUUCCCACAUUGUUGAUACUCCCUGAGUAUAUUACAGUUUGUUCUUACUGUCUCCUCACUGAUCCGAUCCGCCAUGGUUUUAACAGUAGAACAGUUUAUUCAGGCCUGUGAAAAAGUUGAAACUAAUUUUACUUUGAAUCGUUUGUUUAGUUUACGUACAACUACCAAGAGCUACAUUAUCCAGUGCCUAGCCGACAGAGAAAUACAGAAGAUCGUGAAAAAGAAUGUGAUAUUUAAUGUAAAUGAUGGCGAUCGAGCAUAUGGGCAUAACUCUAAAGUGAUCCACUCUCCUCACUUGUAUUCACGGGCGAAUGCAGUUGACGGUCUAGGAUGGAAUUCGCGAACUUCUCAGCCAAUUCAAUGCCGCUUGAUGCAGAAUUUUGCUGAGGACCAACAGAAUUUUAAAAUUCAGGAACUGGAGAAGCAGCUCGCUGAUAAAAAUAAGGAGGUUUCUUAUUGGAAAAUGACCGCAAAAUCUUCCAGAGAAAACCAACUCCGGUUAAUAAACGAUUUGAAUAGGAAACAAUGCGAAAUAGAUGAGUUACUUAAUCGAAUUCAAACUGAAAGUGCUAUAGAAAAAGUUUUUAAUUUCGUAACAUCGUUUUUUCGUGACAUUAUAGCAUUUUGUUGGUUUUUACUUCACGGGUCAAUAUUACUGUUAAUAUUCUUGAUGUUAGUAUCAUUCGUAGUGUAAUUCAUUAUAUUCGUACUGGCCAAACGUCUUGAGUUAUAUAAAACUUUUUAUUGCUUUUUAAAUUAUUUCUAAACCUUCAUCAGAGAUGACUCUGCCUUCAUUGAAAUUUGAAUUUACGCAAAAACUGGAAUAUAAGUUGUGCGGACCAUUUCAUAUUUUUUGUAUAUUUUUUUAUUGUUUUUCUUGGUGUGUCACAUUGGCGGUGAAAAGUUUGGAGAAUCGUAAAGCAUUAGUUUCGUUAUAAAUUUUUGAAAAAUUUUAAAUGUUUGAAUAAUUUAAGUAUUUAUAGUUAAGCGUUCACCACGAGUUUAACACUUCAUAAUUUUUUUUUAUAUUAUAACAAUAAAUAAAUAAGCUUCAGACUGUAGACAUUUUCGACAGUCUUAUACGUCCAGCUUACGUCUCAGUCUGACACUGUCAGUCUCACGCAGAGAAAGGUUUCACGUCUGUGACAGUAUAUUUAGUAGUGGGCCUGCCGUGCCUACUAUUUGUUAGAACUAUUUCCUUAUCUAAUCACUCUGUGCAUUAUUUUCUCUUUGAAAAAAACAAACAGUCAAAAUCAAAUCAAGCAAUAGAUAUUAGCACUAUGCAGCGCUAGAUGGGGAUAUAAGCAUUACAGGGGGGGAAAUAGCCUAGUGGCUACACGAUUUUCAUUUUCUCCAUUACCAACAGAGCCAUGCAGAGCCAUUAAAGGGCUCUGAUUACAAGUUGAUUGCCUGUUUUGCGCGGAUCAUAUACCAUUCCGUAUACAAUAUCGAGAAAACCCCUUACGGUGCACGAGCAUGCCUUUGCGAAAUACAAACGUUUUUACAUUGUUUAUUGAUUCAUGCAUACACCCUUCUCCGCAUACAGUCAGUUUUUUUUUAAUUCUCCUCACCAAUCCCAUCAGCCAUGGUUUUAACAGUAGAACAGUUUAACUAUGCCAUUGAAAAAGUUGAACCUAAUUUUAUUUUGAAACGUUUGUUCGAUCUUCGUACAGCUACCAAGAGCUACAUAAUUCAGUGCCUAGCCGACAGGGAGAUUCAAAAGAUCGUGAAAAAGAAUGUGAUAUUUGAUGUAAAUGAUGGCGAUCGUUAUCGGCAUUCUCUAGCAUAUGGACAUAACUCCAAAGUGAUCCACACCCCUCACUACUAUUCCCGGGCGGAGGCAUCUGACGGUCUAGGAUGGAAUUCACGUUUCUCCCAGCCUAUUCAAUGCCGCUGGAUGUUGACUGAUGUUGAGGAUCAAAAUUGUAAAAUUUGGGAACUGGAGAAACAACUGGCAGAUAAAAAUAAGGAGAUUUCUUAUUGGAAAACAGCUGCGGGAUCCUCCAGAGAAAACCAGCUUCGAUUUGAAAGUACGAGAGAGAAGUUCGACCAAUUCUUAGCUUCUCUUUCUCGUGACAUUGAAGAUUUUUUUAAAACUUUUGGAUGGGCAAUCGGCGCAAUAAUAGUAGUGCUACUAUUAAUGUACACUUUUAACGGUGAUUUUAACAACCGCAGGAAUCGACGCUUUGACUGAAUAAUUGUUUUCUUAUUGAGCUUAAUUUGUGAAUCGAACGCAAUAACAAGAAUAUAAGCUGUCCGGAUCAUU